rnacentral:lncRNA from 1 species
UCAGACUAUUAAGGUGGACUGGAGGAGUUUAACUGUGAGGGUUGGUGAGGUGUUAAGGUGGCCUGGAGGACGUGGUCUGUAUCAGACUAUUAAGGUGGACUGGAGGAGUUGUAACAAACAGUUGUUGGCAUGCUAACCUGUACAACAGGUCAAUUCAACUGGUUGAAUACAUAUUGAACUCUAUGAAUAACUUUUACAUGAGUUGGGGUCAUUUACCUUCUAGUUCCCUCACUUUAUUACCUGCUGCUUUUGUCCUUUUGUAGUUAUCAAGAAGUCCAUUCCAUUUCAAUUCAUCAUUCAAAGUCUAGAUAUAAAGUGAUAAGAGAAACCAGAGAGAUAGUAAGAGAGAACAAAGAGACAACAAAGAGAUAGAAAGAGAGAUAGUAAGAGAGAACAAAGAGACAACAAAGAGAUAGAAAGAGAGAUAGUAAGAGAGAACAGAGAGAGUUAGCGAGAGAGAGAAAAUAGAGAGAUACAAAGAGAGAUACAAAGAGAAAUACAAAGAGAAAUACAAAGAGAGAACAGAGAGAGUUAGCGAGAGAGAGAAAAUAGAGAGAUAGCCCAGCCAACCAGAGCCAUCUACCUCUAGUAGCCCAGCCAACCAGAGCCAUCUACCUCUAGUAGCCCAGCCAACCAGAGCCAUCUACCUCUAGUAGCCCAGCCAACCAGAGCCAUCUACCACUAGUAGCCCAGCCAACCAGACCCAUCUACCUCUAGUAGCCCAGCCAACCAGAGCCAUCUACCACUAGUAGCCCAGCCAACCAGACCCAUCUACCUCUAGUAGCCCAGCCAACCAGAGCCAUCUACCUCUAGUAGCCCAGCCAACCAGAGCCAUCUACCUCUAGUAGCCCAGCCAACCAGAGCCAUCUACCUCUAGUAGCCCAGCCAACCAGAGCCAUCUACCUCUAGUCUCCCAGCCAACCAGACCCAUCUACCUCUAGUAACCCAGCCAACCAGACCCAUCUACCUCUAGUAGCCCAGCCAACCAGACCCAUCUACCUCUAGUAGCCCAGCCAACCAGACCCAUCUACCUCUAGUAGCCCAGCCAACCUACAUCAGACCAGUAUUCUGCAGCAGGCCCUACCGUACUACCCACCUACAUCAGACCAGUAUUCUGCAGCAGGCCCUACCGUACUACCCACCUACAUCAGACCAGUAUUCUGCAG